UUCGGUACAUCGGUGACAGGUGGUGCAUGGUUGUCGGUCAGCUCGUGUCGUGAGAUGUUGGGUUAAGUCCCGCAACGAGCGCAACCCUCGACCUUAGUUGCCAGCAUUCAGUUGGGCACUCUAAGGUGACUGCCGGCUAAAAGUCGGAGGAAGGUGGGGAUGACGUCAAAUCAUCAUGCCCCUUAUGACCUGGGCUACACACGUGCUACAAUGGGCGGUACAAAGGGUCGCGAACCCGCGAGGGGGAGCCAAUCCCAAAAAAGCCGCUCUCAGUUCGGAUUGCAGGCUGCAACUCGCCUGCAUGAAGCCGGAAUCGCUAGUAAUCGCGGAUCAGCAUGCCGCGGUGAAUACGUUCCCGGGCCUU
rnacentral:rRNA from 1 species